rnacentral:lncRNA from 1 species
ACCUCCUGGCCACACUGAUUAAGACUGCACCCCCCUCCGACGCGCCAGCACUACCCUCUCUCCGAAGCACGCCUCACGCUCUGGAACUCCCUUAGGGCUGGCCUUAUCGUCCAUCUCCCUCGUUAGCACACACGCUCGUGAGACGGGAUUCACAUCUGCUCCCAGGACUGUCACGGCACCCGGCACCUGACGGGUGAUUCUGAGGCUCCUUCAAAUUCACUGAGCCGUGGGGCAGCACUGGCUACUAGGACUUUCUGUGACGAUGAAACGGAUCUACGCUCGCCCUGCCAGAUGCCACAGACACAACCCACAUUGGACGAACACUUGAAAUGUGGUGAGUAUGAUUCGAAAGAGGGAUUUUUAAUUUUUACUUUUAUUUAACUUUAGUUCAUUUAAAUUUAAAUAACCACAGGUAGCCAGUGGUUUCCAUCUGUCAGCGCAGGUCUAGAGUGACCCAGCUCAGAGGGCCCGUAGAGGUUGGCAUUGUGUAGACGGGGAAAAGGUUCAGAGAGAGAUCAGAAUGUGAAUCAGGGACAGGGUGGGACCAGAGUCUCUGGGCUCUGAGGCCAAUGUUUUCUCCUCCGCAUAGCACUGCCACCACGACCCCAGGCCCUGACCCUGCCUCUCUCUCCACCCGGCCCUGGAUGCUAUCGCUCUGUAGACAGAGGGCUCCCUGGAAUCUCAGAAGGCAGCCAGGUGUGAACACUAAGCUUGGCGGUACAGGAGCCUAGCGAUGUGUCCACAACCAGUCCCGGCUGGAGCUGUAGAGAUGGGCCCGCUGGGAAUGGACACAGGGCAGGCUGUGCCCCACCAUGGACAAGCAGCCUACGACACACUAGAGCACACGGUGGACUUCGACUGGGGACCACAGUCAGCAUUCACCACUCGCAUUCGAACUGGCCUGGGUACGCUACAGCUGAGAAGCCCGUGGGUGGUCCUUUAUCUUCGCCGGCCUUGCUUCCAUCAACUGAAUUGGAGGGAACACCGCCUCCUGAGUGGUGAGGCAGCACAGAAGACGAUCAGGAAUUUAAAUGGAAUCUUCCAGGCUUAUCCUGUACAACACACCAUGUACCCACCCCGGCCCACUUGCCCUUCCUUUCCU